rnacentral:rRNA from 1 species
UGAGGAAUAUUGGUCAAUGGACGGGAGUCUGAACCAGCCAAGUAGCGUGCAGGAUGACGGCCCUAUGGGUUGUAAACUGCUUUUAUAGGGGGAUAAAGUGUGCCACGUGUGGCAUAUUGCAGGUACCCUAUGAAUAAGGACCGGCUAAUUCCGUGCCAGCAGCCGCGGUAAUACGGAAGGUCCGGGCGUUAUCCGGAUUUAUUGGGUUUAAAGGGAGCGUAGGCCGUCUUAUAAGCGUGUUGUGAAAUGUCGUGGCUCAACCUGGGCAUUGCAGCGCGAACUGUGAGACUUGAGUGCGCGCAGCGCAGGCGGAACUCGUGGUGUAGCGGUGAAAUGCUUAGAUAUCACGAAGAACUCCGAUCGCGAAGGCAGCCUGCGGGAGCGCAACUGACGCUGAGGCUCGAAAGUGCGGGUAUCGAACAGGAUUAGAUACCCUGGUAGU